rnacentral:rRNA from 1 species
GACGAACGCUGGCGGCGUGCCUAAUACAUGCAAGUAGGACGCACAGUCUAUACCGUAGCUUGCUACACCAUAGACUGUGAGUUGCGAACGGGUGAGUAACGCGUAGGUAACCUGCCUAUUAGAGGGGGAUAACUAUUGGAAACGAUAGCUAAUACCGCAUAACAGUAUGUAACACAUGUUAGAUGCUUGAAAGAUGCAAUUGCAUCGCUAGUAGAUGGACCUGCGUUGUAUUAGCUAGUAGGUAGGGUAAUGGCCUACCUAGGCGACGAUACAUAGCCGACCUGAGAGGGUGAUCGGCCACACUGGGACUGAGACACGGCCCAGACUCCUACGGGAGGCAGCAGUAGGGAAUCUUCGGCAAUGGGGGGAACCCUGACCGAGCAACGCCGCGUGAGUGAAGAAGGUUUUCGGAUCGUAAAGCUCUGUUGUUGGUGAAGAAGGAUAUAGGUAGUAACUGGCCUAUAUUUGACGGUAAUCAACCAGAAAGUCACGGCUAACUACGUGCCAGCAGCCGCGGUAAUACGUAGGUGGCAAGCGUUGUCCGGAUUUAUUGGGCGUAAAGCGAGCGCAGGCGGAGAAAUAAGUCUGAUGUGAAAGCCCACGGCUCAACCGUGGAACUGCAUCGGAAACUGUUUUUCUUGAGUGCAGAAGAGGAGAGUGGAACUCCAUGUGUAGCGGUGGAAUGCAUAGAUAUAUGGAAGAACACCAGUGGCGAAGGCGGCUCUCUGGUCUGCAACUGACGCUGAGGCUCGAAAGCAUGGGUAGCGAACAGG